AUCAAACCAAUUGACUUGCCUUCCAUGUAUACUAGUACGUGAAAGUUUUUUGCGUCUCAACACCUCCUUCAGCCGUCGAUCCUCGAAUUGUUUUGCUUGUUCGAGGUCUGUAACAUCAAUUUAUGACGCCAAUAAAAUUAUAGUUAUGAAGAAAUAAAAACUUAAAUAAAUAAAUAAAUAAAUAUCAGUAGUAUGCGAGGAAUGCUAGUAAAUUAUAAAUUCAAUUAGGAUGCCAAGUAAACGUAUGUCUCUACGCAUCAAAAGAUUUAACUUUCUCUAUUUGGCAAAUACUUUUUUACUACUGAAAAAAUAUCGCAAUUUAGUGUCUAAAAGUAUGUAGUUCCUUAUAAAUGCCCCGAAGAAAUACUAUCUACAGUCUAAAGAUAAAAGUAAGUUAUGUUGCGUGUGAAGAAUGUUGACGGUAGUAGCCUCCGGCGAGACUCAAAUUCUUUACAAAUGCUUUUGUAUUUACACCGCAUUAUUAUCUAGAUCAGCUAUGCUGUCAUGUAAUUAUAGAUUUUCCGGAAGUUGCCAUGUUUAACCUACGGCGUGAUGCGUCUAUAUAAGUUCUCAAGAAAACCUGGAGUACUUUCAAGCAUAAUAAUUUUUGCGCAAUGUGUAUUGCUUGAAUAAAAAAUCAAACGUUAUUGAUUUAGCUCGACGUAAUAAGAUUAAAAAAAUAUUUAUGAGAUAAUACUAGGUCAAUGCAAUCCUUAGUAAUAAGUUGGUUGACUUUUCUGCAUCGUACUCACGCCUUAUAAGAUGGCGGUUGCAAAAAUGUUUCUAUUGCCUAAAGCUUCGUCUGCGUAUCCAUGUAUCUAUCUGUGUGUAAAGGGAUCUUUGAACUCGAUUUUCGGUGACUUAAAAAUGUUGGAUUAAAUAAAAAUUUUGCACACUUAUCAAGGACCGGUGACAAUAGAAUUACUUAAUAAGUUUGUCCUAUUAUCCUGACCAGGAUCAACAGGAUUUCCGGUUUUUUAUAUUCGGAGACACGAAUCACUUGGGGUUAAGAAGAAAAAACUAAUUUUAUUGUUAAUUAUGUAAUUAAAAAAGACAAAUAAAAAUGAAGGUCGUGGAACGUUAGAGGAAAGUCUUGGAGAUAGAAAUCAGACCUUGCUAAAAAGCCCAUCCUGUCACUGCUCGGCUGCUUCUGCUAACAAGUCCUCCACCCACAUAAAUACGUAAUUUCUACGUACUGAAACUUAGUAAUUACGAACUAGGAACAAAAAUUUGCUCUAAAAAAAUACCUCAAGCAUUCAAUAAGAAGAAAAACAAUAACAUAAAUUACAAUGUUAAUGAUAAUAAAGAGAUUAAAAGAUUGAUUGAUGAAGAAAGCAUGAUCGAAAGUUGUUUUAUGGAAUAUUGAUUACUCCACCACUCUGAUUGGUCAAAUAGACAACAUUUCUUCCUUGAAAAUCUAAUCUGAAUCGCGUGAGAUAAGUCUGCUGUCAAGAAGAAAUAAGUACGAUCGAAAGGAAUACAUAAUCAACGGAAGCAUUCACUUCCUUUUACACUUGAUGCCGGGUCAUUGGAACCGAUCCAAGUCUUUUAAUUUUAUCUUCAACUUAGAUGGAUAAAUAUCGUGUGGAGAAAACUCGACCGUGAAAAAGCAACAAGUAUCUCUGGUUAACUUUCUUCAAGACCCUUUUAGAGGGUGCACAUUUAAUUGGAGAUUUUUUGCAUGAUCCAGCGCUAAUUCUCAAUGAAAGCGAGACACUUUAAGGUAGAUUUCUUUAGAAAUCGGGUUUUUGCAGAGCACUCAUUUGAAUACAAUCUUGCCGUAUGUUUUAUUUUGUUGAGUUAUGCUGAAAAAUAACAUCACGUAAUGAUUUUGAAUUUAAGAAAUGGAAAUCAAGGAUGGACAUUAUAAAAAUUUAAUAGAUAUAUGAUUUAUGAUUAUUUGUGAAAGCAUAUUACUCUUAAUAUGAUAUGAUUAAACUGAGUUGAUACGGUUGGUGUAACCUUCAAAACCGGCAGUUUACUUUUAAAUGAAACUCGCCCAAGCAAAUGAUGAUAAUACAAAACUCACGUGAUUACAUCGUACAACAGAACAGGUGGACUUUGCAACUUUCUAUCGAGUCUCCAGGCAACCCAUGACUAGGUUUAACAUGUAGGCGACGGUCAAGGUGCAAGCGGCCUACUAAGUAGUAUUAUGUUGUUACUCACUCAGUAAUAAAAUCAAAGAUUCACUAUUGAGACUUAUAUAUCUAUAUAUAAUGCAUGAUAAUAAUAAAUUUACUCGUGGGAAUUAAUUUAUGGAGAAGAAUAGAGACUGAGGAGCCAAUAAACUUACCGGUGAGCGGUGCGUACACUGGAGCUGCAUAACGUGCAUCAUCUUCAUAAAUCGGUUGAUAAUGGGAAUUACUCAACUGCUUUGUUUGACCAAAAUAUAUAUCUUCAACCAAUCCUGGAGGAUGAUAUCCUGGUUCACGUGACGAUUCUCUUGUUCCCGGCGCUGUGACAUGCGACUGUAAGAAGUCUGAGGAACUUGAUAUUUAUGUGUCGGUGCAGUGACAGUGUGUCUUCUCAAAUAAG